AACGAACGCUGGCGGCGUGGAUAAGACAUGCAAGUCGAACGCUCGUUUCGGAGUAGCAAUAUUCCGGAGCGGGAGUGGCGCAAGGGUGCGUAACACGUGGGUCAUUUGCCGUGAAGCUGGGAACAACUCGUUGAAAGACGAGCUAAUACCCAAUGUGCUCCGCAAGGAGUAAAGCCGGGGACCGCAAGGCCUGGCACUUCACGAUAAGCCCGCGGCCUAUCAGCUAGUUGGCGGGGUAAAAGCCCACCAAGGCUAAGACGGGUAGCUGGUCUGAGAGGACGACCAGCCACACUGGAACUGAGACACGGUCCAGACACCUACGGGUGGCAGCAGUCGAGAAUUUUUCACAAUGGGCGAAAGCCUGAUGGAGCGACGCCGCGUGGGGGAUGAAGGGCUUCGGCUCGUAAACCCCUGUCAUUCGCGAACAAAGGUGCCGGCCUAACAUGCCGUCGCCUGAUAGUAGCGGAAGAGGAAGGGACGGCUAAACUCUGUGCCAGCAGCCG
rnacentral:rRNA from 1 species